UACGGGGGGGGCGAGCGUUGUUCGGAAUUACUGGGCGUAAAGGGUUUGUAGGUGGUCUGCUAAGUCAGACGUGAAAUCCCUCAGCUUAACUGGGGAACUGCGUCUGAUACUGGCGGACUAGAGUGUGGUAGGGGAGACUGGAAUUCCUGGUGUAGCGGUGAAAUGCGCAGAUAUCAGGAGGAACACCGAUGGCGAAGGCAGGUCUCUGGGCCACUACUGACGCUGAGAAGCGAAAGCAUGGGGAGCGAACAGG
rnacentral:rRNA from 1 species